AGGGAUUACAGAGAAGGAGCUUGUGAUCCUAUAGAUCGCUCCCUCUCUCAGCUCUGGAGGGAUUGGUUCUAUUACAUCACAAUUGGCCCAGUGUGAUUACUAAGAGGGGAUUUGAACCUAGGUGCCCCAAGUCCAAAUUCAGCUUCCUCUCCACUAGGCUGCAUUUAUAUCUAUGAGUUCCCUAAGUAUAUGUUAUAGGAUGUACAUAUACUUUUAAAAAAUGCUCAUAGACGUUAAAGUGGAGUUGUUCAACAGAAAACUCUCAUCAGAUGGUGUUGGGGGAAAAAUUAAUUACACUCCUUGAGUCAAGCCAGAAUUCUUCUGGCCCUACCAGAUUGAGGAAAGUAUUUGCAGAUUCUGUGUGUCAUUCAACCUGCUUUUAAUUGCCCAGGUUAUUUCAGCAAGAUGUCUUUGUAUAAGUUGAAGCAUAAGAACUUCACACUGCAUAUUGCUUUUCAUGGGCUGUGUUGACAACCUGUAUUGACAGGAUCUAUUGAUAAUUCAGGGAUCUGGUCUGUUUAGAUAGUGGAUUAUUUUGUACUCCCAACUUUCUGAAGCAAGAGGAAGUUCUAGGGCAGCCUUUUACAGAGUCAUUUUCCGCAUGAGGAGAGUGCUGUGUGUAUAUGUCUCUGUGUAAAUAUUUUUAUUUACAAAUGUACAACCAGAACAGAGGAAAAGAGAACAUAAGGACAGGUUGCUAGAUCACACCAUCAAGCUCAGACAGAUACUUAUUGGCAGCCAUUCUUCUGGGAUUCAGACAGGAGUCUUCCCCAGCCCCUCCUGGAGAUGCCAAGGAUUGAACCUGGAAGAUCCUACUUAUAAAACAGGACUUUGCCGUCUGAAUGGAGGAAGAUUGUGAGGGCUGAUGGCUCCUACUGAUUAAGCCCUGGCAGUGUUCUUAAUAAAUAUGUUUUAUCUUCCUUUC